UCCUGCAAAAUCCUAGAUGGAUCCCUUUGGGUUUGUGUGUUUGGUCUAUUGAUAUUUGUUCCUCUUUAUGAAACUCAAAUUUUGCAGUUGUAUAUGUAUAACCUAUAUUCUUCUUGUAGAUUAAUUGAAGAAUACAAGCUUAUUCAACCAUUUUGAGGAGAAGUAGGAAAUGGCAAACAUUGAGGUUAUGGAGGUUAGUGGAGAAAGUUGUGAUGGCCCAUGAACAACUAGAAAUGAGAAAAUCUUCAUUUGACUCAUGGACAAGGAGGUUAAAUUAAAGAAAAGUAGAGAAACUGGCACUUUCACAGGAGAAACUUGGAAAAGGAUUAAGAGUGAGUUGAAAAGGCUAACCGCAUACGAUUAUACAAACGAACAGGUGAAAAGAUAGUACUUUGCGCUUCAUAUUCUAUUCAACAGCUUCAACUCAUUGAAAGCAAACUCCGGUGUUGAUUGGGAUACCACACUUCUAACCAUUACUGCUCCAGAUGAUGUUUGGGAAAGACUUUUCAAGGUA